rfam:Myotis davidii contig195883, whole genome shotgun sequence.
AGGCCUGAAGAGAGAGGCAGGGUCUUAUUCGCAGCAUCUAUGGCAGCUGUUGGUCAGCCAUUGCCUCUCUCUUUCUCUAUG